rnacentral:rRNA from 1 species
UGCCUGUUUACCAAAAACAUCACCUCUAGCAUUUCCAGUAUUAGAGGCACUGCCUGCCCAGUGACAUCAGUUAAACGGCCGCGGUAUCCUGACCGUGCAAAGGUAGCAUAAUCAUUUGUUCCUUAAAUAGGGACUUGUAUGAAUGGCCACACGAGGGCUUUACUGUCUCUUACUUCCAAUCCGUGAAAUUGACCUUCCCGUGAAGAGGCGGGAAUAUGACAAUAAGACGAGAAGACCCUAUGGAGCUUUAAUUAACCGACCCAAAGAGAUCUUGAUAAUCAACCGACAGGGAUAACAUACCUCUACCAUGGGCCGACAAUUUAGGUUGGGGUGACCUCGGAGAAUAAAACAACCUCCGAGUGAUUUAAAUCUAGACUAACUAGUCGAAAGUACUACAUCACUUAUUGAUCCAAAAACUUGAUCAACGGAACAAGUUACCCUAGGGAUAACAGCGCAAUCCUAUUUUAGAGUCCAUAUCGACAAUAGGAUUGCGCUGUUAUCCCUAGGGUAACUUGUUCC